AAUUAAUGAACUUGAAUAAGUUUAUAUUUUGAAAAUAUAAAAAAGGAAUAAAAUUUCCUAUUGAUUU
rnacentral:tRNA from 1 species